CCCUUCGGGGUGAGUAGAGUGGCGAACGGGUGAGUAACACGUGGGCAACCUGCCCCUCGCAGGGGGACAACCGGAGGAAACUCCGGCUAAUACCCCGUACGCUCCACGCAUCGCAUGUUGUGUGGAGGAAAGGUAGCUUCGGCCAUCUGGCGAGGGAUGGGCCCGCGGUGCAUUAGCUAGUUGGUGGGGUAACGGCUCACCAAGGCGACGAUGCAUAGCUGGUCUGAGAGGAUGAUCAGCCACACUGGGACUGAGACACGGCCCAGACUCCUACGGGAGGCAGCAGCCAGGAAUCUUGGGCAAUGGGCGCAAGCCUGACCCAGCAACACCGUGUGGGCGAUGAAGGCCUUCGGGUCGUAAAGCCCUGUUGAUAGGGACGAAGGGCGAAGGGUUAAUAGCCCCUAGCUUGACGGUACCUUUCGAGGAAGCCCCGGCUAACUACGUGCCAGCAGCCGCGGUAAUACGUAGGGGGCGAGCGUUGUCCGGAUUUAUUGGGCGUAAAGAGCGUGUAGGCGGUUCGGUAAGUCUGUCGUGAAAUCCUGAGGCUCAACCUCGGACGUGCGAUGGAUACUGCCGGGCUAGAGGAUGGUAGAGGCGAGUGGAAUUCCCGGUGUAGCGGUGAAAUGCGCAGAUAUCGGGAGGAACACCAGUAGCGAAGGCGGCUCGCUGGGCCAUUCCUGACGCUGAGACGCGAAAGCUAGGGGAGCGAACAGGAUUAGAUACCCUGGUAGUCCUAGCCGUAAACGAUGGACACUAGGUGUGGGGGGAGUCGAAUCCCUCUGUGCCGCAGCCAACGCGUU
rnacentral:rRNA from 1 species